AUCCAGCUGACCAGUCCCAAAUAGGACGAAACACGCGUCAAACUGGAU
rnacentral:hammerhead_ribozyme from 1 species